AUGUUCAGCGGCGCGCGCUGUAUUUUAGCGCGUCUGCUGGACCCGGAUAAGGUCUCCUGGACGGCGCUCAUCGACGAGUGCGUCAAGAACGGGCGCCACGACGAGGCGACCUACUGCUUCCAUGCCAUGCUGCUGGAUGGCGUCAUGCCAGACUACGUCACGCUGGUAGCUGCCGUCUCCGCGUGCGCCAAGGUCGGCGCGCUCGGCCUAGGUAUGUGGGUGCACCGGUUCAUGACCAGGGAGAGGCUGGAGGGCAACAUCCGCAUCGCCAACUCGCUGAUUGACAUGUAUGCCCGGUGCGGUAAGGUGGAGUUUGCACGGCAGGUGUUUGACGGCAUGAAGAAGCGGACGGUGGUCUCCUGGAACUCGAUGAUCGUCGGGUUCGCAGCCAACGGACGGUGCACGGACGCCAUCGAGCAUUUUGAGGCAAUGCGAAGAAAGGGGUUCAAGCCAGACGCUGUGACGUUCACGGGCGUCCUCACGGCCUGCAGCCAUGCUGGUCUCACCGACGAGGGGCUGAGGUACUAUGACGCCAUGAGGGAAGAGCACGGCAUCAAAGCAAGGAUGGAGCAUUACGGGUGCGUGGUCGACCUGCUCGGCCGGGCCGGGCGCCUGGACGAGGCCAUGAGCGUGGUGGCGACCAUGCCGAUGCGGCCGAACGAGGUGGUGCUUGGAGCCCUGCUCGCGGGCUGCCGGAUUCACGGGGACGUGGACAUGGCCGAGCAGCUGAUGCAGUACCUCCUCGAGCAGGACCCUGGCGGCGACUCGAACUACGUGCUGCUGUCAAACAUCUACGCCGCCGUCGGGAAAUGGGAUGGGGCCGGUAAGGUCAGGGGCCUGAUGAAAGCCCGGGGGGUGAAGAAGAGGCCAGGCCGCAGUGCUGUGGAGAUCGACGGCGACGUGCAUGAGUUUGUCUGCGGCCAUCGGUCUCAUCCGCAGGCUGGGGAGGUGUUGGACAUGCUUGACCUGCUCAGCCAUGAGAUGGCAGGGCGUGAGGCCGUGAGUGAGCAUUGA
rnacentral:rRNA from 1 species